rnacentral:lncRNA from 1 species
AAAUUGAUGAUUACGGAAGUAAAUGGAGCUUUAGUGGAAUGUUGCGUUUCCUGAAAUGUCAGGAAGUAGAUACUCAAGCUCUGAUGGCUCGUAUUGAAGACUUGAUAAUAAAAACUAUUAUAUCAGUAGAAAUGGUUAUUUCAACAGCUUGCAGAAUGUUUGUUCCUCAUAGAGGCAACUGUUUUGAGUUGUAUGGUUUUGACAUAUUGAUAGAUGAAAAUUUGAAACCAUGGCUUUUAGAAGUCAAUCUCUCGC